AUUGAACGCUGGCGGCAAGCUUAACACAUGCAAGUCGAGCGGGGGAGGUUGCUUCGGUAACUGACCUAGCGGCGGACGGGUGAGUAAUGCUUAGGAAUCUGCCUAUUAGUGGGGGACAACAUUCCGAAAGGGAUGCUAAUACCGCAUACGCCCUACGGGGGAAAGCAGGGGAUCUUCGGACCUUGCGCUAAUAGAUGAGCCUAAGUCGGAUUAGCUAGUUGGUGGGGUAAAGGCCUACCAAGGCGACGAUCUGUAGCGGGUCUGAGAGGAUGAUCCGCCACACUGGGACUGAGACACGGCCCAGACUCCUACGGGAGGCAGCAGUGGGGAAUAUUGGACAAUGGGCGGAAGCCUGAUCCAGCCAUGCCGCGUGUGAAGAAGGCCUUUUGGUUGUAAAGCACUUUAAGCGAGGAGGAGGCUCUUAAGGUUAAUACCCUUGAUGAGUGGACGUUACUCGCAGAAUAAGCACCGGCUAACUCCGUGCCAGCAGCCGCGGUAACAC
rnacentral:rRNA from 1 species